AAAUAUUGUUAGUAAAAAAAAAAACCAAUACGGAAAAUCGACCACCUAGUGAAUAAGGCGUGGUUUGGUGUCCAUGGCGGAGCCAUGUCGACGCCUAUCAGCCAAUGGCGACCGUCAUUUGUGAGUCACACAAAUCGUAGGACUGCCAUGACCUCUUUUUUCCGCCAAGAUGCCAAAUCGCCGCCUAGGCUUCGCCAUGACAACUAUGUAUUCAAUAGGUUUGCUGUUUGCUAUAUUGACGUUGAUGUAAUGCUGUAGUGAUGUUGCUAGAUAUAAUGGAAAAUUUGUGCAUAGGUUCAAUAUAAUGUUGUUUCUGUUGUUGGGCGUCUAGGCGAUUGCCUUGUCGCCUAAGUAGUUAGGUGGCCCUCGAAUGCCGUAGGUCUCUUGUGCGACUUGACAACAAUGCUACUCUACUUCACUCUUCUCCAUGCCAUGCUGCGCUGCAAGCAUCUUUUUCUUCCUCCUCUACGGUGGUGGCAGAAACUUUGCAAAAAGGCAAAUGACGUGGUUCAGGAAUGAGCUUAUUUAUCACUGGCUUGAUGCUUCACAGCCACUGGAAAAGGUACUUAACUUUGUUUAUGAUGCAUACCAUCAGCAAACUCAAAACGUGGUGGUGCCAGAUUCACUUAAAAUGAAGAAAGAUUUAUCCCGUCACAGGGAGAUCUCUGAACUGAAGGUUUAUCGCCCAAAAAAUAGGCAUUUUAUCAGUCAUGAAGACUGUUCUGGUGUCUUGGAUUGGAUUUGGAAAACACAAGGAUGAUACAAGGGUUCUGCUCAUUAAGAUUUAAUCCAUCUUUAUUUUGACCACAAAGAGUGACAAAUAGAAAUAGGAUUAUCUUCCAAGCCAACACCAAAUUUUUUUCGGACUUCAGCUUGAAAGGUUUGUAGGGAAGAACUGAACCAGUUCUUUCUUUUUUAUUUUAUUUUAUUUUAUUUAUGUGGUGAAGUCUUAUUCUAUUCUUUCAGAGGAGGUCCAUUGAGUUGGAAACGGGCCCUCCACCCCUAGAGAGAGAGAGAAAGAGAGAGAGAGAGAGAGAGGUAAUGUACAUUAAUUCCUUUUUCUUCUUUUUGGUA